GGGCGCAAGCCUGAUCCAGCCAUGCCGCGUGAGGGAUGAAGGCCUUCGGGUCGUAAACCUCUGUCAGUUGGAACGAUGGGUCUAAAGGUUAAUACCCUUUAGACUUGACGGUACCUUCAAAGGAAGCCCCGGCUAACUCCGUGCCAGCAGCCGCGGUAAUACGGAGGGGGCAAGCGUUGCUCGGAAUUACUGGGCGUAAAGGGUCCGCAGGUGGCUUUGUAAGUUAGAUGUGAAAUCUCAGGGUUCAACCCUGAAACUGCAUCUAAUACUGCUUAGCUUGAGUACAGGAGAGGUUGGCGGAAUUCCCGGUGUAGCGUUGAAAUGCGUAAAUAUCGGGAGGAACACCAUUGGCAAAGGCGGCCAACUGGCCUGUUACUGACACUCAGGGACGAAAGCGUGGGGAGCAAACGGGAUUAGAUACCCCGGUAGUCCACGCCCUAAACGAUGGAUGCUAGGUGUAGGGAUGAAAAUCUCUGUGCCGUAGUUAACGCAUUAAGCAUCCCGCCUGGGGAGUACC
rnacentral:rRNA from 1 species